UGCUCCCGGAUGUUAGCGGCGGACGGGUGAGCUAACACGUGGGUAACCUGCCUGUAAGACUGGGAUAACUCCGGGAAACCGGAGCUAAUACCGGAUAGUUCCUUGAACCGCAUGGUUCAAGGAUGAAAGACGGUUUCGGCUGUCACUUACAGAUGGACCCGCGGCGCAUUAGCUAGUUGGUGGGGUAAUGGCUCACCAAGGCGACGAUGCGUAGCCGACCUGAGAGGGUGAUCGGCCACACUGGGACUGAGACACGGCCCAGACUCCUACGGGAGGCAGCAGUAGGGAAUCUUCCGCAAUGGACGAAAGUCUGACGGAGCAACGCCGCGUGAGUGAUGAAGGUUUUCGGAUCGUAAAGCUCUGUUGUUAGGGAAGAACAAGUGCGAGAGUAACUGCUCGCACCUUGACGGUACCUAACCAGAAAGCCACGGCUAACUACGUGCCAGCAGCCGCGGUAAUACGUAGGUGGCAAGCGUUGUCCGGAAUUAUUGGGCGUAAAGGGCUCGCAGGCGGUUUCUUAAGUCUGAUGUGAAAGCCCCCGGCUCAACCGGGGAGGGUCAUUGGAAACUGGGAAACUUGAGUGCAGAAGAGGAGAGUGGAAUUCCACGUGUAGCGGUGAAAUGCGUAGAGAUGUGGAGGAACACCAGUGGCGAAGGCGACUCUCUGGUCUGUAACUGACGCUCAGGAGCGAAAGCUUGGGGAGCGAACGUGAUUAG
rnacentral:rRNA from 1 species